GCCACUUGUCUGUCUCCAUGCGCCCGUGCGUUGCUGCUCUCGCUCUCUCACUCUCUGCUGCCUGGGUCUCCUGUUAUCAAUCUAACCUCUCCUCCAUAUCUCCCUCUUUCUCUGCUGGGGCCCAGGGGGCUACCAGCCCACCUUUAGAGGCCAGACUGAUGGCUCUAUCAGCCGCAGAUGAGUCAGGCAAAAUGCUCCUCUGGUGAAUUCCAGAACGCCACACAGCAGAGUAGGGAAAGAAAAGAGAUGACUGAGUUAACGCGGUAAUAGGGUAAAGGAAUAGAUAUCAGGAAGAGGGAUGGAGAGGAACGAGGAGGAGAGGGAAUGGAAAAAAAGCAGUAAGGGAGUGAAGGGGAAAGGCAGAACAGAGAGUGAGAGAUAGCGUGAGAUUGAGAGGGAGAGAGAGUGAUGGUAAGAGAGAGAGCGGGAGGGAUGUGAGAGAGGGAGCCAAAGUGGGAGAGAGAGAUGGUGAGAGGGUGCAAACUGCAUUGCUCAUGUGGAUUCUAAUCAAUUGUGGACGUUAAGGGCUCAGCGACAGUCAGAGAGAUUGAAGUCCUUCACUCCUUCACUGGAGGCGGCCAACGUCAGCGCUGGACUGAAAAAUGGGAGGCACGACGCUCUGCCUUCAGGCACGGCGUUUCAACUGGUAUCUCGUCAUGGCGGAAGUAGCUAAGCCCCUGAUUGGUGUUGAUUUCCUGUGGACAUGGGGAUGUGAAGAACCGCCGACUGGUGGGUGCUAAAAUGUUAUAUCCUUUACCUGCAUGCUCAGCAUCUUCCCCACAAGAGACCAGGCUGGGCUGGAGCCCAUGCCCAUGCCCGCCACCUUGAGCCGGAGAAGUUUGCUGUGGCAAAAGCUUUUGCAAGCAUGGAGAACCUUGGAAUAACCUGCGGGUCCAACAGCUCGUGGUACACACAUGGUCCUGAAGCCAAAGGGGGCAGCGCCGCCUUGGGUACUACCGCCUUCUCAAUGACGCCACUACCCCUGACAAGUAUCUGGUCCCGCACAUACAGGACUGGGAUGGACAUAUUCUCCAAAGUGGAUUUGGAUCAGAUCUUCAAUCAUGGGCCUGUGCGCCCAGAAUACAUCCAUAAGAGAGCUGUUUUCAUCCCAUUUAGACUGUUCAAGUCCCUGCGCAUGCCUUUCAAGUUUAAAACACCGCCCAAGCUUUCCAGCGCCCAAUGGACUCCCUUUUUUCUUCAUCUAUUUUGGAUGAGAUCCUCAUUGCCAGCACCUCCAAGCCAUGUCCAAGGUCUCCGAGCCGUGGUCUGCCCGCCAGCAGCGGCACCUGGCCUUCAUAUCUGUGUCCACUUCAGACACCCAACAUGUAGCAGGGAGGUGCAACGUUGUGGCAGACUGCCUCUCCGGACCCAUCAUAGACCCUGACAAAAGUUCAUUAUACUGAGCUCUUGAAAGGUUACCAGAUGAGUAUACUGUUGAGCGUGUAUCUUGUGUGUGUGUGUGUGUCAUGAAUCACAAAUUAAGGUUUCAGUAAUCGACAAAACAAUAUUCUAGUGCAUAUACAAAGGAUUGGAAAUGGAGUCAAACUUAGACUGUGCCAGCAAGUUAAGCAUUAUAGUAGUAUCGGCACCUCUGUCAACAUGCCUGUGGGUUCUUCUGGUGUGCUGACAGAUAAUGAAUGGAAAUGGAGCACAUUAUAAUGCAAUCCUGAGUUUAGAUGGAGUGUAAUGGAGCAUUUCCACCGGCAAAAGUGGGCGUUAUCCGGUCUGAGCAGUAUUGAGC
ensembl:lncRNA